rnacentral:rRNA from 1 species
CGGAGGGUGCGAGCGUUGCUCGGAAUCACUGGGCGUAAAGCGUACGCAGGCGGAUCGUUAAGUCGGGUGUGAAAUCCCGGGGCUCAACCCCGGAACUGCAUUCGAAACUGGCGGUCUUGAGUACGGGAGAGGGAGGCGGAAUUCCUGGUGUAGAGGUGAAAUUCGUAGAUAUCAGGAGGAACACCGGUGGCGAAAGCGGCCUCCUGGCCCGAUACUGACGCUCAUGUACGAGAGCGUGGGGAGCAAACAGGAUUAGAUACCCUGGUAGUCCACGCUGUAAACGAUGAGUGCUAGCUGGUGGGAAUGUUUACCGUUUCACUGGCGAAGCUAACGCAUUAAGCACUCCGCCUGGGAAGUACGGCCGCAAGGCUA